UACGGAGGGAGCUAGCGUUGUUCGGAAUUACUGGGCGUAAAGCGCACGUAGGCGGUUAUUCAAGUCAGAGGUGAAAGCCCGGGGCUCAACUCCGGAACUGCCUUUGAAACUAGAUAGCUUGAAUCCAGGAGAGGUGAGUGGAAUUCCGAGUGUAGAGGUGAAAUUCGUAGAUAUUCGGAAGAACACCAGUGGCGUAAGGCGGCUCACUGGACUGGUAUUGACGCUGAGGUGCGAAAGCGUGGGGAGCAACAGG
rnacentral:rRNA from 1 species